rnacentral:rRNA from 1 species
CCAAUAGCGUAUAUUAAAGUUGUUGCAGUUAAAAAGCUCGUAGUUGAAUUUCAGGCCUGGCUGGACGGUCCGCCCUUCGGGUGAGUACUGUCUGUGGUCGGGUCCUACCUUCUGGCGAAGCGUCAUGGCCUUAACCGGCCGUGGCGGGGAACCAGGACUUUUACUGUGAAAAAAUUAGAGUGUUCAAAGCAGGCAAUCGCUUGGAUACAUUAGCAUGGAAUAAUGGAAUAGGACAAUGGUUCUAUUUGUUGGUUUCUAGGACCGUUGUAAUGAUUAAUAGGGAUAGUUGGGGGCAUUAGUAUUCAAUUGUCAGAGGUGAAAUUCUUGGAUUUAUUGAAGACUAACUACUGCGAAAGCAUUUGCCAAGGACGUUUUCAUUAAUCAAGAACGAAAGUUAGGGGAUCGAAGACGAUCAGAUACCGUCGUAGUCUUAACCAUAAACUAUGCCGACUAGGAAUCGGGCGAUGUUGAAAAAAUGACGCGCUCGGCACCUCAUG